AUGAAUGGCUCUUCGGAGCUUUAAAUCCAUUAUACACCUGUGAACUGUGGCUUCGGCCUCUUUACACUCUUAUCUGUAUGAAUGUAAUAUGACAUAACAAAACA
rnacentral:misc_RNA from 1 species